ACCACCUCUAAAAUGUGUGCUGGAGAGUUCUGUGCAUUUUAAAUUUCUUUUCCUGCACAAUGUAGAGAAUGGUGUUUUUUUUGUUUUUUUUUUUUUUUGCCUUCCUCUUCUUCUUUUUUUUUGUUUUGUUUUGUUUUGGGAUAUGUGUGCAUGUGUGUAUGUGUGUAUCUGUUAAACCAAUACUGUGCCUACAUUUGUUGCUAAACAAUGCCAUGCAUUUAAGUAUUGUUAAGUUUCGUGAAUGAUGCUGUGGGGUUGGCACUUGAUUAAAUGUAAUGAACACAGUAUUGAAGGCUACAGGGUUGAUCACUGUUUUGCCUUUGAUCUCUCAAAUGUGGAGAAGCAACCUUGACAGAGAACGUAAAUACAAUAUAUGGAUUCAAUUUACUCAACCUGUUGAGUAUCAAAGUGCUCGAUCUGUGGAAGUAGAGUCCAAGUGCUGUAACUUAAAUGGUUUUAUUAUUGAAAGCAUAAAGUUUAGAAAUUCAUUAACUUAACUUUAGUCUAUCUAUCACAGUUAUUAACCACCUAUCCUUGGAAUCAAGCCAUGGCUAUGUAUCAUUAGUAUCUGGAAGUAGGUCUUUGCCUCUGUAGGUGAUAGUUGCUGCAUUAGUAUUGUAAAACUGUGUUCUGCCAGGUCUGCCAAGUAAUAGAACUGUUUAUAAUACUACAUUUUUCAUCUCUGAAUGCAUUGAUAAAGAAAAUAAGGACAGUGAUGCUUUAUAUUAUGGUGCAGCUGCAGAGCAUCUGAAGCUAGCAUACAGCAGGGUUUCAUCAAGAAAAAGUCUCUCCUGAGUGGAAUUAUUAAAUACUCGGCAUUAGUCAAACAGUUGAGUCAGACAGGAUUUUAAUCUAUAGCAAUUUCAAAAUCCCCAGAGACUGCUGAUUUGAUUGAGGCUUAAACUGUGAAAGAAAAUGGAAACAAACACAAAACUGAUUUGUGAAGGUCACUUUUUAAAGACCAAAGCUUCUGUUUCUGAUUCUGUGUCUGGAUGUAUUUUGAAGUUUGAAAGCUAAAUGGUUUUGUACAUUUUCUUAGCUUUCUGAUUUUUUUUCUCUCAGUGGAUCGGACCUUGUGUCUGAUUGAGCUGUCCUCAUCCAGGGCUGUGCCUUCGUUUAUAGUGUAGACUCUUGCUUGAGAGGGCUCAUACUUGUCCUUCUGCUUUCGCUUGGCAACCAUGCUUGUCCCCUGGAAACAAGCACAGAAACGUGUGAAGUCUCUAGCCUUCCUUCCCUGCAUUGAAUGAAAUAUUGAGAUAGGUGUCUCAAACAAUAAAUCUUUUUGAUAGUUUCGAUCUGAGAGUGCUAAGAGAUCUUGCUCAUCUGGAAUUAUCAUUUAAAAAUUGUGAAUCCUGGAAGUGAUGUAUUGUAACCUAAAGUAUUUUAUUCAAGAUUACAGUAGUAGCCUUUGUUGUAGGGGUUUAACAUUCUUGAACUGCCAUAUUAUUAAUGUUUUAGAGUCAGGUGACUCCCAGUCAAGUAAAACACACAUCACUAAAGCAGUUGUUGUGCGUUAUUAAAAGUUGCCAUAUUCAGCGCUUUACUCUGAGGUAAUGAUACUCCACAUUUAUCAUAUAGCAGUAUAUCAAUUUUAGCUCUUUGUAAAGAUAUCCUCAUGCCACAGAGAGGAAUAUCAGUGCACUAUUGGCAACCAUAGUUUGAUUUAAAUCUGCUGCAAGAAGAGUUUUUAAAAUGAUGUUUAAAAAAGGAAACAUCUUUGCCCUUGAUUCACUCAUAUUUCCAUCAGAGACACAUUGUAGGAGAUUCUAGGGUAUUGUUCUACAGCUCUGAGCCUCUGCCUGAAAGUGAUAAUCUUUUUGAGUAGAGAAAGAGCUUCUUGGUGACUAAGCUCUGUUGUUACUUUUCUAAGCCUGUUUUCAUUCCAGAAAGCCAUAGUUCCUUUCUGAGACAGAGCAAUGAAAUGUGUGUGCUGCUUUCUGUAACUUGGAGCUAAAGAAACCCUAUAGAUGAGGAGUCGGACUAUUAUGAAUAAUUCUCUGCCUCUCAAAUGGUUUGGAUCCCUAUUGUUCAACGUAUUUUUUAAGAUGUUAGAAGAUGAAAUUCAAGUUAACAAUGUGGAAAAUUUUAGCUCAGCACAAUUAAGAAAAAAAAGUGCCCCACUUGAAGAUGAAGAAAUUGUAAACAGAAGUAGAAGAAGCUGUUGGGAAAGCUUUUUUCUGCUGACACAUUGCUUCUUUGAAUAAAUCUUUGUGUCAACU